CAUUCAGGAUGUCAUCUUGAAAGCAGAGACCAAGGUCUUCACCAGAGACAGUCUGCCAAUGGCUUGAUUUUGCACUUCCCAGCCUAUAUAACUAUGUACUGGUUCAUGAAGAUGUUGUGCUUAUGGGUUUCUACUCUA
rnacentral:sRNA from 1 species